GACGAACGCUGGCGGCGUGCUUAACACAUGCAAGUCGAACGGAAAGGCCCUGCUUUUGUUGGGUGCUCGAUUGGCGAACGGGUGAGUAACACGUGAGUAUCCUGCCCUUGACUUUGUGAUAACUUCAGGAAACUGGGGCGAAUACCGGGUAUAAUCUACUGAUGCGUGGUGUUGGUUGGAGAGUGUCGGCGGUUGUGGAUGGACUCGCGGCUUAUCAGCUUGUUUGUGGGGUAGUUGCGUACCAAGGCUUUGACGGGUAGCCGGCCUGAGAGGGUGAACGGCGACAUUGGGACUGCGAUACGGCGCAGAAUCCUACCGGAGGCAGCAGUGGAGAAUAUUGCACAGUGGGCGGAAGCGUGAUGUAGCAACGCCGCGUGCGGGAUGACGGCCUUCGGGUUGUAAACAGCUUUCGCCUGUGACGAAGCGUGCGUGACGGUAAUGGGUCAAGAAGCACCGGCUAACUACGUG
rnacentral:rRNA from 1 species